UCCAACAAAAUUGUUAGGACGUUGCAAAAUAUGUUGGAGGAAUUAGUUUUCUCUCUGUUUUUGUCUCUUCCGGACAAUCCGGAAGGUGCAAUCCAAGACGGAAGAGAAAAAUAAUCCUUUGUUUUUGACAUUUCAAAUUGGUCGGAAAAUGCAAACACGUUUUCUUUCAACAGAUUUUCGUAAAAGUUACUGAUCGCGGAAUUCGACGCGGACGGUCGGAAUUGGUUCGCUGGGUCAACGCGGAUGGUCGGAACUGUCGUGGGGGAAAGAGUUGGGGUUUAUCCUCCAGCGCAAACCCACUCCCACUGGAUGGUGUCCAAAUGGUGGUCCGACGGAAGCUGCAACUGUGACUCCUCGUAGUAUCGAUGACCGCUCCAGCACCUCGGGUUCAAUCUGUUUCCGCGAUUAGACCGUCAGCUAACCGAUACUACUCCAAGAGCCUAGCUACGAGACAAUCACCUUUCCAUUUUGCCCACUCGCACGCUUAAGACGCCAUCUGCUUUUGCUAAUCGAGUUCAGCCGUCGGCAGCAUCAACUCGCCGAAACUCCUACGCCGGGUAGAUGCUCGUGACGCACGACGCGACGAGGACCGCGUACAAUCUGUUCAAAACGUGCCCCGGCCCGCAGUCGGUCGGCAGCCUCGGCCAACUGGACAAUUUUAAUCCACCUACCGCGGACGAACUUGCUGCUGCUGAAGUGCCGAAGCAGAAGUUAGGUUUUGGAGGUGCUGGUGAGCAAACCAGCUGCCGGUUGAAAUGACUGCCGACUAUGCGGCGUUUGGAUCGGUGCCUGUGCCGGCGGCUCCUUAGACAAUGUUAGGUGUUAGAGUUCGGUGGCCAAAACUUUCACCACGCCUGCGUUGAUUGCCGACACCAGCACGAUUCAAUAAUUGGCCAACUCUAACACAAGUGGUGCUACCCGACCCAACUGCAGCCGAUGGAAUGUUUGCCAAGUUUGUCACUUACAAUACGUCUCUUCUUCAUCGGCCACGCCAACGGCCAGCUACACCCAGCCAACGUAAUCUUCCCCAGGAUCUUCUACGAUGGUCUCAGCUGCGCCUUCAGUCUCAACAUCACCUAUUCCAGCGCCCAACAAGCAAGCUUCUUUAGAUACUCCGGUGUCGAAGGCCGAUGUGGUUCAGCCUUCAGCACCAACUCCACGGGCCCAUAUCGGAUCCGUCUCAAGCAGAUAAAUCACCAAAAUCGGAAAACCUCCAGCUCGCGCCAGCAUUACACUUUUCAGCAGCAUCCGCAGGGCACCACGUCGGCGGCGGGGACGGAGAAGGUCGGGGUCAUGGACACGUAACCGGACCCGGUGGAUAACAUUGCGUUGCCGGAGCGUUUGUGCUCGAGGACGAAUCGCUGCAGGUGGGUGCGUCGAAGGCACCAGGUUACUGUGGAACUGACGUUUCAUCGCCGAUCAGCUCCAAAGCAUCGAGCAACUCAACGACACGAGUAGCAGUGGACACAUGCAACAGCAAUCUCAGUCCGGUCGAAUCCGUCGCCAAAUGAGUAGAACGUCAUCAAAUCUCCACAGCAGUCGGGUCCCCCGCCGAGCGGGCUAGCCAAUCGUCAACACAUCGUCCAGAUCCGAGAAAUUGGACCGGCCAGAUCCGUAGACUACGGUAGUUUGAUGAACUCGCGCGAUCAUCCACCACCGUUGGAAGAAAGUUUGAGGCCACAUGCCUCAAUGUUAGACGCGUAGGCAUCUCAGAUCUGCUCGGAUCUGCUUCAGUCAUCCUACCAAAGCCACAUGAAACAGGCCGCGGGAAGCAAUCUAUGUGGCACGAACCCAAAACAUCGUCCUUUUCGGCAAUUCCACCUUCGCAGAACCAUCAAUCGGCAAACUGUCGAACCAUGUCCCGGACCGAUCGGAAAGUACCAGAACCAUUCACCAAACGGAUGGGGCCCUGGAAUGCCACCCUGCCUGGGAAGCAACCAGCAGUCACAUGCAAUCGCGGCGGAGGAAUUGGCAGCAACCGACCAGCACUACCAAUCGCGUGAAAAAAGGAGUACGAUGGGAUUUUAUUUAUUAUAAUACGUUCUUCGACAAAAAAUCAAGAAUACAAGAGAAUUAGUGCAAUUUGUUAAAUUAAACAUCCUUGAUCAUAA